rnacentral:rRNA from 1 species
AUUGAACGCUGGCGGCAUGCCUUACACAUGCAAGUCGAACGGUAGAGGUAGCAAUACCUUGAGAGUGGCGAACGGGUGAGUAAUACAUCGGAACAUGCCCAACUGUGGGGGAUAACGUAGCGAAAGUUACGCUAAUACCGCAUACGAUCUACGGAUGAAAGCGGGGGACCGUAAUGACUCGCGCAGUUGGAGUGGCUGAUGCCAGAUUAGCUAGUUGGUGGGGUAAAAGCCUACCAAGGCAACGAUCUGUAGCUGGUCUGAGAGGAGGACCAGCCACACUGGGACUGAGACACGGCCCAGACUCCUACGGGAGGCAGCAGUGGGGAAUUUUGGACAAUGGACGAAAGUCUGAUCCAGCAAUGCCGCGUGCAGGACGAAGGCCUUCGGGUUGUAAACUGCUUUUGUACGGAGCGAAAAAGUCUUCUUUAAUACAGAGGGCUCAUGACGGUACCGUAAGAAUAAGCACCGGCUAACUACGUGCCAGCAGCCGCGGUAA